GACGAACGCUGGCGGCGUGCCUAAUACAUGCAAGUCGAGCGGACUUUCAAGAAGCUUGCUUUUUGAAAGUUAGCGGCGGACGGGUGAGUAACACGUGGGCAACCUGCCUGUAAGACGGGGAUAACUCCGGGAAUCCGGGGCUAAUACCGGAUAAUAUCUUUCUUCGCAUGAAGGAAGGUUGAAAGGCGGCGCAAGCUGCCGCUUGCAGAUGGGCCCGCGGCGCAUUAGCUAGUUGGUGAGGUAACGGCUCACCAAGGCGACGAUGCGUAGCCGAGCGGAGAGGGUGGUCGGCCACACUGGGACUGAGACACGGCCCAGACUCCUACGGGAGGCAGCAGUAGGGAAUCUUCCGCAAUGGACGAAAGUCUGACGGAGCAACGCCGCGUGAGCGAAGAAGGUCUUCGGAUCGUAAAGCUCUGCUGUCAGGGAAGAACAAGUACCGUUCGAAUAGGGCGGUACCUUGACGGUACCUGACCAGAAAGCCACGGCUAACUACGUGCCAGCCGCCGCAGUAA
rnacentral:rRNA from 1 species